rnacentral:snRNA from 1 species
UUUCCUUCAGCAACACAUGAUGUAAAAUGAAAUGACGCAAAGAUUAUCACAGCUGCUGUGCAAGGAUGACACGUAAAUUCAUGAUGUGUUUCAUAUUUUA